rnacentral:tRNA from 1 species
UUUAAUAUGGCAGACUUUAAGUGCCUUGGAUUUAAAUUCCAAUUAUAAAGAUCUAAAAAUCUUUUAUUAAAU